CAAGAAAUGAAAGAAAAGAAGAAGAAGAGGAAGAGGAAGAAGAACGUGCAGCAAGAAGAAAAAGAAGGUGCACUUGUAAAGACUUGUAUAAAAAAAUGCUUGUAUGUGAAGAAUUU